rnacentral:rRNA from 1 species
GAUGAACGCUGGCGGCGUGCCUAAUACAUGCAAGUCGAGCGAACAGACGAGGAGCUUGCUCCUCUGACGUUAGCGGCGGACGGGUGAGUAACACGUGGAUAACCUACCUAUAAGACUGGGAUAACUUCGGGAAACCGGAGCUAAUACCGGAUAAUAUAUUGAACCGCAUGGUUCAAUAGUGAAAGACGGUUUUGCUGUCACUUAUAGAUGGAUCCGCGCCGCAUUAGCUAGUUGGUAAGGUAACGGCUUACCAAGGCAACGAUGGUUACCCGACCUGAGAGGGUGAUCGGCCACACUGGAACUGAGACACGGUCCAGACUCCUACGGGAGGCAGCAGUAGGGAAUCUUCCGCAAUGGGCGAAAGCCUGACGGAGCAACGCCGCGUGAGUGAUGAAGGUCUUCGGAUCGUAAAACUCUGUUAUUAGGGAAGAACAAAUGUGUAAGUAACUAUGCACGUCUUGACGGUACCUAAUCAGAAAGCCACGGCUAACUACGUG